rnacentral:rRNA from 1 species
ACUCCUACGGGAGGCAGCAGUGGGGAAUUUUGGACAAUGGGCGAAAGCCUGAUCCAGCAAUGCCGCGUGUGUGAAGAAGGCCUUCGGGUUGUAAAGCACUUUUGUCCGGAAAGAAAUCCUUGGCUCUAAUACAGCCGGGGGAUGGACGGUACCGGAAGAAUAAGCGAACCAAGGCUAACCGUAACGUGCCAGCCAGCCGCGGUAAUAACGUAGGGUGCAAAGGCUUAAUCGGAAUUACUGGGCGUAAAGCGUGCGCAGGCGGUUUGCUAAGACCGAUGUGAAAUCCCCGGGCUCAACC